GGUGAAUAUACGUCAAGUCAUCGUGGAUUAUCUUCCUUAUUCUGUACCCCAGGAAGAAUAAAUCCUGAGGGUGAAUAUACGUCAAGUCAUCGUCAUGUCUUCCUUAUUCUGUACCACAGGGUUACUGGACAUGCUAGAGCCUAUCCCACGCUGGACAUGCUGGAGCCUAUCCCAUGCUGGACAUGCUGGAGCCUAUCCCAGCUGUCUUCGGGUUCAAAGGUCUGUGGAUGUUUUAACGCCGCUUCGACCGCAUGCUGUGAUUGUAGCGAAUCUUUCUCGCCAACGGGAUCCUUUCAACACGCUGGCUGGAUGACAUUCAAGUCAAGUCGUCACGAUGGCGGGGAACAUGGCCUCCCAAAGUCAUCCAAGGUACAGUACUGAUACACCAGCAUCAACUCAACUGGAAACUGACAAAGAUCAAAUCCGGGUACCUGGACUCUCCUUGUCUGCUGAACAUCUUCUUCUAUUCGAAAACCCCCCCCCCAAAGAUUGUCUGAUUCCCCAGGAAAGGGUGCAUGCAUGUGUCUCUGAUGUUUUGGAGCCAACGCUGCACUGGGAUUCUUAUAUGCGGAUAAAUACUUAUGGGACAACGAGGACCGAAAUAGCCCUCGAAGCAGGAAAUGCACACGGGACAGGUAAAAAGUCUCCUUUUCCUGGUGACCUCUUCCUGUCUAAUGAGUCCAACUCCUAUACUGAGGUGGGAGGUAAAACUCCUGUCCCCCGCCCCCUUUUCUGGAAGCCCUGAUUUUGAAGGCUUUGGGGAUUUGGGUGGCAGGCGUCACACAUAGCGAGGACUUCGGGAUCACAACCACAUCCACCUUCCUCUCUCCGCCCGUUGCUUUUGUCUCUAAUAUGGUGCUGGGGUAGCGUUCAGAAAAGCCAUGUGUUCCUUGCAUAAAAUCCACAUCUAGGGCUGCGGAGAAGCUUACACUGUAAUCCUGCAUGACGGAUUGAGUCUACCACUGCAGAACUCUUUCUUUUUUUUUUCCCAUUUCUCUUUCUUUCCUUCCUGAAUCUCCUAUAGAAACUUCCGUAUCCGCUCAAUGUUAUAGUGGCUGUACGUUGACAAACAUCAGAGCGCUUGUAUUGUGUACAUAUCCGUACUGUAUACACAUAUAUAUACACACACACAUGUAUGCGGAUGUCUUUGUAAAGUUAGCGCUUACACCCCUCCCCCGCUCUUGUUAAACAUAUUCAGCAGCCUAUAGCUAUUGAAAUUUUUGCAGCUGCAGUCAGACUGAAUAAAUACAUAGAUGUCGAUGCAGGGAAUCGAAAAAAAAAACAUUGUUUUGGUUAUUUUUUUUUAAGCUAAAAAACAGAAAGUAAAAGAAACCGUCACAUAGAGUUCCUGAAUGAAUCCCACAGGGAAGUAUCCGACUGCCGGAGAGGUAUGGAGAUGACCUGGAUUUUGUAUUCAUGCUCCCCCCCGCCCCCCUCAGCACUGGAUUUGGGUACACCGGCAAAAACGUUUGCAUAUGACUGCUAUUAAGGACCCCUCUGUGCCUGAUUUCCCAGCGUGCUUAUCAAUCCAUCAUUAUUCCAUCAUUCCCAGUGCAUAUUUUGUCCCGUUUUGUAAUCUGCCCCUCUCUCCGGGCAUUAAGCAGUCAAAGAUCUUUUCUGUUGCAUGCGGCGGGAGCUAUCACUCCAUCUCGUUCCUUUUCCUCACUCUAUCACUCUAAUCUUCCUUAAUCUUCCUGCCUGGAGUGAAGUGAGAAUUAGUUUCUCACUCUCCCUCAACGAUCCGUUCUCCUCGAAUCCCUUCCAUACGCCUCCCGCUUCUGUGUCGCUGCUUCAAGUUGUGAACAAACUACAGAGGUCAAGUCCGCUUUGCAACCUCCGUCCCUCUCAACUUCUCUUCUCACCUCGUGGCCCACCUGAGACUUUGUUUAGGAUUGUCUCACCUGCAAUUGACCGACGAUCAAUCCGGAGUUGGCACCGCUUCUCGCCCGAGGUCAGCCGGGAUGAGCGUGAGUGGACCCUGCAGAGCAUAAACAUAUCGAUAACGGGCUGAUGGAUUGGUUUCUCGGUUUGUUUCUAGAUUUUAGAGCAGUGCAGAGUCCCAACCGUCGACUCUUAACUCUUAACUCAACCCCUUCAGUGGCAGCCAUUUUAGACCAUUUUUACUAAUCUUUCAAGGCAAAUAUUUCUAUAUUCUAUGGCUAUAUAAACAUGGAGAUUAGCAACAGAAAUAUUAGACUCCCGUCUUAUUAUUAGUUGGAAAAAUCUUGUCGCACAAUGCCAAAAAUGCAUUAUAAGGUAGAAAAAACACAUAUACAUAAGUCGCACAAGGCCAAAAAUGCAUAAUUAAGGAGAAAAAAAACAUACAUAAGUCGCACUGGACUAUAAGUCGCACAAGGCCAAAAAUGCAUAAUUAGGUAGAAAAAACACAUACAUAAGUCGCACAAGGCCAAAAAUGCAUAAUUAGGUAGAAAAAAAACACACAUAAGUCGCACUGCCGUAUAAGUCGCACAAGGCCAAAAAUACACAAUUAGGUAGAAAAAAAACAUACAUAAGUCGCACCUUCCCGUCUUAUUAUUAGUUAGAAAUAAAAAACACUCUUCCACCGUUCAGCCUAGUCUAGCCAGUCUGGACCUUAAUCCCAUAGAAAAUCUCUAGAGGGAUCUGAAACGUUGAGUUGCGACCAAUCACAGGGCACAUAUAGACAAACAACCAUUCACACUCACAUUCAUACCUAUGGACAAUAUGGAGUCGCCAAUUAACCAAGCCUUUUUUUAGUCGGGAACUGAUAUUUUCCUGAA